CACACUGACAAAUGUUUUCCCUCGGCUUUUACAUGACUCCUCAUAUAUAGGUCGCUGUAUGUUUCUCCCGAGGACGUGAAUUAAUCUACACCUCGGUGUCAUCCACAGGGGUGUCUAUUUAUUAGACAAAGUAAUAAAGACUCACACCCGCAGCCCGUGUCUGGUCUUCCUUGAAACCUACACAACUCCAGGUUACAUGUGAUGGAGCCCGCAAUGAGUACUUUGCAGAGUAUUGAUGACAGAGCCACCACAAGCUGACAAGGAAGAGUGUUCAGUUUUCUUUCCUAGGACUGAUUGGAACACCAGCGACUUGUGCUGAGUUUAAUCAGACAUCAGAAACUUGAGCUGACAUUGAAAUGUGUGCCAUGAACUUGUGCUCAUGAUUUGUGAUUUUAUUGAAUUCUAGAUUAAAUGCGUACGUCAUGUGGCGUCCACCUGAACUUCUACACAACUGAUGCAAAAAAUCAUGAUGUGUGAUUUACUGAACUCUGUUUCCAUGCAAGUACUUGUAACAAUAAAGCUUUUUGUUUAGCCAUCCAUCAUGUACCACAGAUCAAAUGUGUUUGAACAAUGCAGUAGUGAGUUUGUUUUGAUUUCAUUCCUUUAGUUAACGACCGGCUAUAGUUUGUAUGUGUCCUCUUGAUUACGUUGGCACCAACAUGUUUAGUUGGUUUGUGGAUCCACACCUUGUGUAAUAAUUAAAUUUUCGUUGUGUUCAUGGAAAUUCCUGCAUUCUGAUUAGCUGAAUUGGUCACGUGUUACUGCAUUCAUU